rnacentral:rRNA from 1 species
AGAACGAACGCUGGCGGCGCGUCUAAGCAUGCAAGUCGAACGGCAAGGAUGGUAGCUUGCUACUAUCCCUAGAGUGGCGGACUGGUGAGUAACACGUGGGUGACCUACCCUCGAGAUGGGGAUAGCCAUUAGAAAUAGUGGAUAAUACCGAAUACGCUCUACGGACUCUGGUUUGUAGAGGAAACAGGCUACGGCCUGGCUCGAGGAUGGGCCCGCGUCCCAUUAGCUAGUUGGUGAGGUAAGAGCCCACCAAGGCGACGAUGGGUAUCCGGCCUGAGAGGGUGUACGGACACAUUGGGACUGAGAUACGGCCCAAACUCCCACGGGAGGCAGCAGCUAAGAAUAUUCCGCAAUGGACGAAAGUCUGACGGAGCGACGCCGCGUGGAUGACGAAGGCCGAAAGGUUGUAAAAUCCUUUUGCUGAUGAAGAAUAAGCGUGGUAGGGAAUGACCGCGUGAUGACAUUAGUCGGUGAAUAAGCCCCGGCUAACUACGUGCCAGCAGCGGC